rnacentral:rRNA from 1 species
GACGAACGCUGGCGGCGUGCUUAACACAUGCAAGUCGAACGGAAAGGCCCUGAUUUUGUGGGGUGCUCGAGUGGCGAACGGGUGAGUAACACGUGAGUAAACUGCACUUGACUUUGGGAUAACUUCAGGAAACAGGGGAUAAUACCGGAUAGGAGCUCCUGCAGCAUGGGGGGGGUUGGAAAGUUUCGGCGGUUGGGGCUGGACUCGCGGGUUAUCAGCUUGUUGGUGGGGUAGUGGAUUACAAAGGCUUUGACGGGUAGCCGGCAUUGGAGGGUGACCGGCCACAUGGGUACUGCGAGACGGCCCAGAAUCCUACGUGCCGCAGCAGUGGGGAAUAUUGCGCAAUGGGCGGAAGCCUGAUGCAGCAACGCCGCGUUCGGGAUGACGUCUUUCGGGUUGUAAACCGCUUUCUCCGGUGCCGAAGCCGGAGUGACGGUAAUGGGUAAAGAAGCACCGGCUAACUACGUG